rnacentral:rRNA from 1 species
AGUCGAGCGGGGAUUGGGUGCUUGCACCUAAUCUUAGCGGCGGACGGGUGAGUAAAGCUUAGGAAUCUGCCUAUUAGUGGGGGACAACAUUCCGAAAGGGAUGCUAAUGCCGCAUACGUCCUACGGGAGAAAGCAGGGGAUCACUUGUGACCUUGCGCUAAUAGAUGAGCCUAAGUCGGAUUAGCUAGUUGGUGGGGUAAAGGCCUACCAAGGCGACGAUCUGUAGCGGGUCUGAGAGGAUGAUCCGCCACACUGGGACUGAGACACGGCCCAGACUCCUACGGGAGGCAGCAGUGGGGAAUAUUGGACAAUGGGCGGAAGCCUGAUCCAGCCAUGCCGCGUGUGUGAAGAAGGCCUUUUGGUUGUAAAGCACUUUAAGCGAGGAGGAGGCUACCUGGAUUAAUACUCUAGGAUAGUGGACGUUACUCGCAGAAUAAGCACCGGCUAACUCUGUGCCAGCAGCCGCGGUAAUACAGAGGGUGCGAGCGUUAAUCGGAUUUACUGGGCGUAAAGCGUGCGUAGGCGGCUGAUUAAGUCGGAUGUGAAAUCCCCGAGCUUAACUUGGGAAUUGCAUUCGAUACUGUUAAGCUAGAGUAUGGGAGAGGAUGGUAGAAUUCCAGGUGUAGCGGUGAAAUGCGUAGAGAUCUGGAGGAAUACCGAUGGCGAAGGCAGCCAUCUGGCCUAAUACUGACGCUGAGGUACGAAAGCAUGGGGAGCAAACAGGAUUAGGUACCCUGGUAGUCCAUGCCGUAAACGAUGUCUACUAGCCGUUGGGGCCUUUGAGGCUUUAGUGGCGCAGCUAACGCGAUAAGUAGACCGCCUGGGGAGUACGGUCGCAAGACUAAAACUCAAAUGAAUUGACGGGGCCCGCACAAGCGGUGGAGCAUGUGGUUUAAUUCGAUGCGACCCGAAAAACCUUACCUGGCCUUGACAUA